AGACGGGAAGGAACUAACAUAUUCAAGCUUACUUCUGGCUGUGUCACUGACCCAACAGAGGCCAGUAGGUCCAGCAUGGCAAGCAUGGCUCCAGGAUGAAUGAUGACUGCAUCAGAACUCUGGAGAGAUGAAGUUGUCACAUGUAGUUUCAGGUCUGAGAAGCAGCCAAGAAAUCGAACAGCAUCUGCCAACUUCUCAUACUGAAUCUCUGUUUUGAAGAAAUGAGAGUUGGCUGGCUCAUAGCGCAUUGCUGCAGUCAACGUGCAGAACACAGUGUGAAGAAGUUCAAACACUUGAUUCUGGUUCACUUUCUCCCAGCCAUUCUUGGGUGGACAGCUCAAAGAUCUUUCCAUAGCAACGAGCAAGGAUGUAAUGUACACAAAUCCUCCAACUUUCCUAAAAACUGUUCUUGAACGAUGGCUUUCUCGAAGGACCGACAGGAGGGCCUACAGGAGACAAAAGAAAAAAACAAACGAAAAUACACAUAAUUCAAA
rnacentral:antisense_RNA from 1 species